GGCUAACGCUGGCGGCGUGUCUUAGCCAUGCAAGUCGAGCGGACUUAUGGGGUAACUUAUAAGUCAGCGGCGGACGGCGGAGUAACACGUAGCUAACCUACCCUCUGGACGGGGAUAACCUACCGAAAGGUGGGCUAAUACCCGAUGUAGUCAUCCUGUAUAGGGGUGAUGAAAGGUGGGCUUCUGUUUACAAGCUCAUGCUGGAGGAGGGGGCUGCGGCCUAUCAGGUAGUUGGUAAGGUAAAGGCUUACCAAGGCGACGACGGGUAGCCGGUCUGAGAGGAUGUACGGCCACACUGGGACUGAGAUACGGCCCAGACUCCUACGGGAGGCAGCAGUUGGGAAUCUUAGGCAAUGGACGAAAGUCUGACCUAGCGACGCCGCGUGAGGGAAGAAGGCCUUCGGGUUGUAAACCUCUGUCAUGGGGGAAGAAGUAAGUGACGGUACCCCAAGAGGAAGCCCCUGCUAACUACGUG
rnacentral:rRNA from 1 species